AACGAACGCUGGCGGCAUGCCUAACACAUGCAAGUCGAACGAGACCUUCGGGUCUAGUGGCGCACGGGUGCGUAACGCGUGGGAAUCUGCCCCUUGGUUCGGAAUAACAGUUAGAAAUGACUGCUAAUACCGGAUGAUGACGAAAGUCCAAAGAUUUAUCGCCGAGGGAUGAGCCCGCGUAGGAUUAGCUAGUUGGUGAGGUAAAGGCUCACCAAGGCGACGAUCCUUAGCUGGUCUGAGAGGAUGAUCAGCCACACUGGGACUGAGACACGGCCCAGACUCCUACGGGAGGCAGCAGUGGGGAAUAUUGGACAAUGGGCGAAAACCUAGAUCCAGCAAUGCCGCGUGAGUGAUGAAGGCCUUAGGGUCGUAAAGCUCUUUUACCUAGGGAGUGAUAAUGACAGUACCUGGAGAAUAAGCUCCGGCUAACUACCGUGCCAGCAGCCGCGGUAAAG
rnacentral:rRNA from 1 species